rnacentral:rRNA from 1 species
AUGCGGGAACAUCAACCUGCCGCACGUCACCCAAAGCUUACCUACUGUGGCUGCUUCCUUCCCCAUCAAAUACUUGGGCCUGCCCUUAUCUGUUUGGCAACUCAAAACAGUGGACUUCCAGUUCCUCUUGGACAAGGCGGCGGCAAAGCUAGGCGUCUGGGACGGCCAAAAUAUUACCGCCAUUGGGAGGGGGCCUUGGUCAAGUCCGUGCUCUCCUCCUUGGCGGUCUACUUCCUCACCCCACUCAUUGUGCCGACGGGCACUCUACGGCAGCUCACAAAGCUUCAGAGGGCCUUCCUUUGGGCAGGAUCGGAUAAGGCAACCGGUGCAAAAUGCAAGGUGAACUGGGAUAUCGUGUGUAGGCCUUCCGAGUUUGGGGGCCUUGGCGUACUCAACACGGAAAAAUUUGCGAGGGCACUAAGGCUGCGUUGGCUUUGGUUUGAGUGGAAGGAGCCGUCCAAGAUGUGGGUCGGUUUGGGGAACCCGUGCGAUGACAAGGACUAUGAUCUUUUUUGCGCCUUCUCCACCAUCACUGUUGGCAAUGGUGCCCGCACACCUUUUUGGGAUGCUCCUUGGGUGCAUGGGAGAAAGCCCAAAGACAUUGCUCCGCUCAUUUAUGGUGUUGCCACAAGGAAGAAUUGGAAAAUCAGAGAGGCUCUAUUUGUUAGACAAAAUAGGGUUUGGAACAAUGCUCGAUACCCUUGGUGGGUACGGCUGUCAUAUAUUUAUAAGAGGAAACCGUACAAAUACAGGUUAUGUUACAACACGUAUAUCUAA